rnacentral:rRNA from 1 species
GAUGAACGCUAGCGGCAGGCUUAAUACAUGCAAGUCGAGGGGCAGCAGGGUGUAGCAAUACACUGCUGGCGACCGGCAAACGGGUGCGGAACACGUACGCAACCUUCCUUCAAGUGGGGAAUAGCCCAGGGAAACUUGGAUUAAUACCUCGUAACAUUGUGAGAUGGCAUCAUUUUACAAUUAUAGUUCCGACGCCUGAAGACGGGCGUGCGCCUGAUUAGGUAGUUGGCGGGGUAACGGCCCACCAAGCCUUCGAUCAGUAACUGGUGUGAGAGCACGACCAGUCACACGGGCACUGAGACACGGGCCCGACUCCUACGGGAGGCAGCAGUAAGGAAUAUUGGUCAAUGGACGCAAGUCUGAACCAGCCAUGCCGCGUGGAGGAUGAAGGUCCU